rnacentral:rRNA from 1 species
AUUGAACGCUGGCGGCAGGCUUAACACAUGCAAGUCGAGCGGAGAGAGGUAGCUUGCUACUGAUCUUAGCGGCGGACGGGUGAGUAAUGCUUAGGAAUCUGCCUAUUAGUGGGGGACAACAUUUCGAAAGGAAUGCUAAUACCGCAUACGUCCUACGGGAGAAAGCAGGGGAUCUUCGGACCUUGCGCUAAUAGAUGAGCCUAAGUCGGAUUAGCUAGUUGGUGGGGUAAAGGCCUACCAAGGCGACGAUCUGUAGCGGGUCUGAGAGGAUGAUCCGCCACACUGGGACUGAGACACGGCCCAGACUCCUACGGGAGGCAGCAGUGGGGAAUAUUGGACAAUGGGGGGAACCCUGAUCCAGCCAUGCCGCGUGUGUGAAGAAGGCCUUAUGGUUGUAAAGCACUUUAAGCGAGGAGGAGGCUACUCUAGUUAAUACCUAGGGAUAGUGGACGUUACUCGCAGAAUAAGCACCGGCUAACUCUGUGCCAGCAGCCGCCGCGG